CUGUGCUCCAGGAAGAAAUAUGUUUCUCAUCAUUUAUAAAACCUGCAUGCAUUUGUAGGCAUGGGUACACACCCACACUCGCGCUCUUGUUCUCUAGCUUGUCUCCUAUCCAUUAUCUCAGGGGGACUGUCUAUUCAAUUCCACAGGUGACACUGAUAGUGUGGUGUGGUGUGGUGUGCUGCGCUUGGCUAAGCCCAUCUCCUCACAAGCCUAACCUGUGAUCCUGUGAUGUGAUAGUUAGCUGCAAUGUUUACUGGCUCAACAAAGAGCCUAUUAUCUGCCUGAUAGUUUCUGUCUUGUCAUUUCCUCUGCAAAUGUCAAACGUUGAGGGAGUCACAAAAAGGCUGACUGCUGUGCAGAGACCUGAAUAUGAAAGUUGCCAGUAGAGACAGGAGUCAGCAAUUUGCUCUGCUUCUCUGGCUUAAAGGUUUUAGCAUUUAGCAAGAACAGAUCAAAUGUACAGUAUGUCCAUACAUCCAUUUUCUGUACCAUUUAUCCUACACAGGGCUGCAGGGAUCCUGUCCCAAGGAACUUGGGGCACAAGGCAGGGGAUACCCUGGACGGGGUGCUAACCCCUUGCAGGGCACAACUCCACACAUGCUCAUUCACACACUACAGACAAUUUAGAGAUGCCAAUCAGCCUACAACAUGUCUUUGGAGUAGGGGAGGAAACAGGAUUACCCAGGGAAACCCCCUAAAGCACAGGGAGAACAUGCAAAAUCUGUGCACACAGGGCGGAGCACGCUGUCCACCGACUGACUCAGUGCCUCUUAGUAAUGGUUUAUGUGUUUUUUGGAGCUGGAACAUGAAGCAGAGCUCCUUCCUGACAGUGUGUUGGAGAGUUGGAGAGGUGCAGUUACUUCACAUCACCUGCUUAGCACAACACGGGACUGCAAUGGAAAGGAAAUGGGUCAGUGGGCUGUGAUGAGACAACCCACAUACUGUCAAGCAUCACCAUGUCUACAGUACACUGAGGACAUAUUCAGCUUCAGAAGAGGAAUUCAGCUGUAAGCAUUUCAUCAUAUUGUCUGCAGUGGAAGAUAAUGACAUGGGAAGUGUUCUUGUUCUUAGUGAUCUUCUAAACCUCUGGUGUUGUUUACAAAACAUGCCACGCAGCAAGCAUCUUUGGAGAAGGACUGUUUUGGAGCCAUCAUGGCCCGGAGAUACAACCAAUCAGCACCAACCAGCAUCUGUAAUGUUCCAACUGAAAAAAAAAAACGUGAACUCACUGUGCAUUUUUUUUCCCUCUCCAAAACACAUCAGUGCUUGUUGACAUCAUCUUAAUUGCUGCACUAAUAGUGAAAGCUUUAUUGUGUACUCCAUUUCUAUAGCCUUGCUUUAUUUAUAGGGGCCUUUACACAGAAUUUUACUUGAAUGUUACAUAUUUAUACCUUAAUGACCAAUUUUUCUCGGAAAUAGAUGUGCACAUACUGGUCCCUUUGCCAGGUAAACCUACCACAUACAGUAUUUGUACUUUUGUAAUGUAUACAGUUACUGCCUGGAGCACAAACUGUGUGUGCUACACACAAUUGUCAACCAUGUUGUGUAUUCAUUCCAGCAUCACACGCACACUAACAUGGAUCCUUUUCAUGGUUGAAAGGUGGGGAGAGUGGGGUCGUUAUUGGGUAACCCUUCUAUGAAUGUAAAUGAGCUUCAGUAGUGUGUGAGAUGUUAGUAUCUCACACACUAGUAUUCUAUCAUUUAUUAUCAGUAACCUCUUAGAGUCGAAUAUGAAUAUAAAACCACUCAUAAAAAAAAAAAUAAAAUAAAAAAUAAAAACAAUUUUAUGAGUUUAACAUGAUGGUGCACAGAUGUUGUACUCGCUGUAUAAAAGUUUUGCAACUUCCUUGGAACUCUUUGUACAUCAUUUAUUUAUCUAUAAUCACAGACAUUUAUUUGAGUGUUAUGUUUGAACACAGUUGGCCACUGAGCGAAAGAGAGAAAACCAUGUGAAGUGCUCAGUGAUCAUCACCAGAACAUAUGACAUGAU